CAGCUGUACUCUCUCUCUUUCUCACACUCCGCCACGCUCUCGCUCUCGCUCUCUCUUAAUUCCCGGGAGCGGGGAGAGAGUCCACGACUCGUGGGCCGCCCCCCCCCCUCUCUAACGGAGAGUACGCAGCUGGACUGGAAGGAGGUUUUCCAAACGCGGGACAGGCUCGGCCAGGGACCGUCCAGCCCGGUUCUUCCACGGAAAGCGCCCCGGCAUGAGCGCUUGAUCGGGACCGCGGGUGUCGGGUGUGUUACCGCGGAGUCGAGGGAGGGGGGGGUGUGGUUCAAGCGCGGGUGGGAGCACUUUCUGGUCACUCCGUUCUCCUCCUCCUCCUUACAGCGCGCCUCACCCUCGCGUCCAGCCCCCGCCCCCAGAGCCACACGCCGAAACCCCGGGUGUCGCCGCGAUGUAGACCGGGGCACCGCGGGGGAUGGCGGAGCGCCGGGGAAGGGAUUAGUUUGUGUGUGGGUUUUGUUUUUUGUUGUUUUCCGCCUGAUUGGAGAAAAGCGAGUGAACAAUGAGGACCUUUCGCUUUCCAGUCUGAAGUUGAGCCGGGCACAGGCAGUUUUUGGAUGGUAUGCUAUUGGGUGAAGGAGAGAGGACACCGAAGGACCGGAAUCUGGACAUAUCCCAAUCGGAACUCCGCUGGUAAUGAGAAUCUGCAGUCAAACGGUGUAUCGGUGAGUCACUCCACUGAAAAUAAUUAAUCUGCAGUGCCCAUAAAGCCCUGUGCCAAGUCUGGAGUUCAGCCUUCCAGCACCAUCAUCAGUACACAGGGCGUUUGCCCUCCAGAGGGGUGUAUAUGCUAGAAUUUGUUUACCAGAGCAAAGCUCUUGGUGAAUUGCCUUGUGCUGACCAAUCCCAGUAGGUUUCUCGGCUAAUGCAACGGCUACCUUUUAAUGAAAACAACCUGACAGGCUUUGCACGGGAGAAACCUAAUGAACGUGGACAAAGAAGAGAGCUUCCAUCCCUUCACGAUUUCAGGAACUCCCCUGGCAGGAGCAGGGAAAGC
rnacentral:lncRNA from 1 species